UAUCAUUUCUUUCAAGUUGCCCACAGUGUC
rnacentral:piRNA from 1 species